UAUGGUCCGUGUUUUGGUUUCCAUGAUAUCAAAUUAUACGAGAUGCUAGAUCUAUGCAGUACAUCGUCUAUGAUUAAAACCUAACCAAUAUCUCUCUACCAACAUAAACUUAGCUAAACAAUUUGAAGAUUUGAAUCAAGACGAGAUAAAAUAUGAAUUUAAGUUUGAAAAUUUAAAAAUUUGAGUGGGAGUUUGUAAUCAACGUAUUAACCUUCUCCUUCUGACUUCUAAGCAUUUAAUCCGAAAUAGAAUAAAUGAAUCGCAUCGCUGUAAAUGGAAUAAACUAAACUAAAUGAACUAAUUAACAAAAUCAAACACAUACCAAAUUAAGGGCCCCCUCCGCAACGCGCAUGGUACGACCAUCGUGGGGUUUUAGUCGGUAAGUCCGACAUUACCACGCGGUCCAUGAGGAGUUCCCCGCGUAAAAAAAAGUUGAUUUUAUAUUUAUGAUGUACUAUUUGCGUGUGUGUACAACUAAAACAAGAACUUUAA